rnacentral:misc_RNA from 1 species
GUAUAAUAUAUUGAAAAUUCUAAUCGUCAAUAUAUAUUUCAAAAUCAAAUAAUCCUCCCUCUUUAUAUCGAUUUAAAUUGCGACUGCGUGUUUCGUUUCCUACAUCAAAUAAUCCUAACUUAACCUGAUGUAUUGCUGAUGACAAUUUAUAACCUAAACCUAAACUGUCAAAAUACGAAUGGCAUACAUUGAUUACGGUGUUUAAUCAUAAAACAAUUUGUUUUAGCGACGUAUUACUCUAUGUAGUUUAUUUAAUAACAGAAAAAGCUUAAUAAUGUUUGAGUUGCCAGCAGAAUUGACAGCUAAGCCUUUAGCUCUAAUAGGUUUAACUGGAUUAGAUAUUGCAAAUCCAGUACAUCGUUCUAUUUGGGAUGCAUUUAGCAAUAAUAGAAGACCGGACUGUGCAGCUGUUCAGUUUAAAUUGCUCAGUUUAUCGCAUGAAUUUCCCACUGUUAAACCAAAGCGUAGCUCAUAUGAAUGGUAUAUACCUAAAGGGAUUUUGAAAAGGAAUUGGAUGAACAAAUAUCUUAAUGACAUUCCUUCCGUAGUUGUUGUGUUCUAUGAUUUAGACUGGAAUGAUCCUUUGUGGAAUGAAAAGAAAAUGGAGUGUGCUUCUAGAGUGCAAUCUUUAAGAGCUGCUUUGGAUGGAAGAAGUACAAAAAUAGCUGUAGUAUUGAUACAACAUGCUGUGCAACCACUUCCUGGCGCCGAAGAUGUGGUUGCAACUGAGCGUGCAACAGCACUGUGUGGAGCUUGUGAUUUGCCAGCCAAGUUCUUGUAUAUCUUGCCGCAUGCCGAUCAUUUAUUAGGAUAUAUAUCUAGAUUAGAGACAGCAUUCUAUGAUUUGGCACAAAAUUUUUAUCAUCAUGAAUAUCGGAAUGUUAAAGGUCAUCGCGAUCAACUCACUAAAAAUGUCCAUCAAUAUUUAUUUGUUCGUCAUCAGUUUAAAAUGGCAUUCUUAAAUGAACUCAAGCAAGAAUUGCUUAUUGCUCAAAAGCAUUAUGUGCAAGCUUAUCACAAUCUGCUAGAAACAAGAAUGACAGAUGCAAAUGCAGUAGAGAUAAAAACUGUUGCCGGUUUUAUAAAUUACAAAUUGUGUCGAAUAAUGUUUAGUGCAAGCCUUCCAAAAGAUGCCAUUUCUCAGUUUAGACUUCAUACAGAAAGAUUUAAGCUAAAAACUGGUCCAAAGGAACUUAUGUUUGAGCAUCAUGCUUGGAUGAGCAGCCAGUUCUCUACAUUUGCAGAAUUAUUUGAUGAGGCUAUUCGUCAAGGAUUACCUGCUGUUCAAACUCAACAUCCAGGAUAUUAUUUCCAAUUAGCUGCAAAUCAUGCAGGUUUACGACAAUCUGCGUGUAAAGAACUCUGCCAGAAUGUGAACAGUUAUCCAGAUCCAGAUCCUUUAUCAGGCGAAGAGAAACUUGAAUUUUAUGGGCAACGACCAUGGCGACCUGGCAAACUAAGUGCAGAACCUGCAGACACAGCCAGAGAAGCCAUUGGUAUACAGGCUUUACAGUACAGAGAGAAAACUGCAGUUAAUCAUUCUAUGAUAAUUAUAGGUUUACUAGGAAACGCAAUAUCGCAAUUUAAAGUAUACCGUUGUCCAAGAAUGCGACGAUUACUAGUUGUGCAAAUGGCAGAGGAGUACUUUAAUGCUCGGGAUUAUGGCAAAGUUCUUACAUUAUUGAUGCAUAUGUUGUGGGAAUAUCAUGGAGAACGGUGGCCAGUUUUACUUACAGAUAUCCUAAAGAAUGCGUUGCGAGCUGCAUAUCUGUCGACCAGUAUUCAAGAUUAUCUUACUCUAGCACUUGAAGCUUUAGGAUCCUCGACUACAUUUUCAAAAGAGCGACAAGCUGUUAUUUAUAAUAAUGUUAUGAAUAUACUACAAAAAAAACCACCGAAUCCAGAGCCAGAUUUGCCAGAAGAUGUUAAGCAUCUUGCAAUGGAAAAAUGGAUAAUGGAACUAAGUCGUCCAGAGCCAAGUAUUUUUACAAUUGAUGACAAUAACAUGACAUCAUUCAUCGAUCUUAAAACACGAUUUCUGCAGCGGGCAUAUACAGUGAAUACAAUGAUAACAGUGGAAGUUAUCAUAAGGAAUUCUUAUUGCGGUGUUAUUCAAUUUUCCAAUGUGUCAAUAACAGUCAGUGGUCCAGCUUAUAAUGCUGAAAUUCCAAUUAGCGAUACUCAAACAUCUGAUCUUAUUUUCCAAGCAAAAGAAAUGAAAAAGUUUUAUUUUCAUUUUAAAGCACCUUAUCAAAAUGAUGGUGUAGAAAUUCGUAUUAGUACAAUCUCGUUACAAAUGGGUGAUAGUGCACACUGUUGUAUUAUACUGCGAUUCUCAGCCGUGGGUAGAGAAACGAAUGUGUUGGAUCGUUUGUACCCCGAAAUACAACAACUUCGCGGAGGAGAAUUCGAGGCGAUAAGAUCAUUAAUUCACGCGGAAAUAAAGCAGGAAGAAUCGAGUUUAAAUAUAAACGCAGAAUCCAAUAAUCCAGCGCUUUUAGGCGAGUGGCUUCCCAUUACGAUAUGCCUAUCAGCUAACGAAAGUAUUAAUGCAGUCUGUUUGCAUGUAGUACUUGUAGCAGAUGGUAGCAACGAACAAUCAACUGAGUUAAGUGUAAACAUGCUUAAUAAGGAGUCGAAAGUAUCAAUCCUUGUUGGUGACAUGGAAAAAGAUUCUUCAGCCAAACAUAAUGUAUACAUUAGAGCACAUAAAAUAGGCGAUAGAAAUCUCAUGAUAAAGGCUGACUAUUCUAGACCUGACCAAAUUAAGGGAAGUAAAGAAUUAACGUAUUCGUUGGCAGUUAAGAAACCAUUUGAAGUUGCAACACAAUUUUUCACCACAUUCUUUGAGCCACUGAAGAAAGGAUUUAUUAAUGAACGUCUUCUAAUUAUGCCUCAUAUCACAUGUGUUUCUCCGUGGCCCAUAAAGAUUUUAAGUACAUCUAUAGAAGUGGGAGAUUGUAUUCAAAUGGAGAAAUACACUUACGAAAAGGAGUCUAUUUUAACGGAUCUUACACUCUGCGACGGUGAAUCGGGGACCGACAUCUAUAUCUUGACUCCUAAGACAGGCGGCGAGCAGCCUAUUAGCAUUGGAAUAUAUACUAUUAAAUGGAAGAGAGCAAACGAUGAAACCGCCCCGGAAACUAGCAGCAGCGUAACUUUAGCUCCUUUGUGGGUCGAAGAUUCGGUAAUCGGAUUAGAAGCCAAAAUGCCAGCCCACGGAUGGGUUCGCACACCAUUUUCUAUAUCGUAUUUUAUAACAAAUCGUUCCGACUACCUCAUUACUUUGCGCUUGACUAUGGAAGGCAGUGAUGCCUUCAUGUUCGCUGGGCAAAAACAAGUUGACAUUAACGUAUUGCCUAGGAAUGUUCGAAAAGUUGAUUGGAUUUUACGACCACUGGUAGCUGGUUUUGUUGCUCUCCCAACGUUAUCACUAACUGUACCUGCAGAUGAGGAACACAAGCUGGGUAAAGGACGAUUAUCAGAGAUAGUUGAGCGUUCAUUGCCGAGUCAUAUAUAUAUACUGCCGAAAUCGCAGUCUUUAGAAGAAUAAACGAAAUCAGUGUCGAGAUUUUUUUUAAAAGAAAGGAAACAAUUAUAUCUUCUCUUAUCAAACUGUAUUACGAGACUAGGGAUUUAUAUUUUGCACAAAUAAUUAACUUUUAAGAGAAAUAUUCUAAUAUUGGAACAUUGUAAAAUUUUGAAGAAUAUUAAGUGGCAGCUAUUGUGCUGUUGCUGUCGUUCAUAUAUGUAUAUAGAUAUCGAUUGCUUUUACGAGCAUUUACGAGCAUUACGUUGCACGUUGCCGUAGAAACCAUGACGUAAAAACCGUGGUGGAAAUCGUGCAAUUUACAAUACAACACUUAAUAUAAAACAAUUUUUUUUCUACAUUUCUUUAUAAUUUUAGUAAAUAAUUUUAGUAAAUAAUGAAAGAUUAAUUUUAAUUGAUAAUUAAUUGUUAAUGGUUAUUGAUAAUUGUAUUCGCAUAUGGGCCAUAAUAAUUCCAU